rnacentral:rRNA from 1 species
AACGAACGCUGGCGGCAUGCCUAACACAUGCAAGUCGAACGAGAAAGCUCCCUUCGGGGAGCCGGUAAAGUGGCGCACGGGUGAGUAACACGUGGGUAAUCUGUCCUCGAGUGGGGAACAACCCAGGGAGACUUGGGCUAAUACCGCAUAACAUCCUGACCUCUCCGGGGGACAGGAUCAAAGCUGGGGAUCGCAAGACCUGGCGCUUGAGGAGGAGCCUGCGGCUGAUUAGCUUGUUGGUGGGGUAAUGGCCUACCAAGGCGACGAUCAGUAGCCGGCCUGAGAGGGUGAUCGGCCACACUGGAACUGAGACACGGUCCAGACUCCUACGGGAGGCAGCAGUGAGGAAUUUUGCGCAAUGGGGGAAACCCUGACGCAGCAAUGCCGCGUGGAUGAUGAAGGCCUUCGGGUCGUAAAAUCCUGUCAAGUGGGAAGAAGCCCCCUCCGUUAAUAGCGGCAGGGGGGUGACUGUACCACUGGAGGAAGCCCCGGCUAACUCCGUGCCAGCAGCCGCGGUAAUACGGAGGGGGCAAGCGUUGUUCGGAAUUAUUGGGCGUAAAGGGCGCGUAGGCGGCCCUGAAAGUCGGUUGUGAAAUCCCUUGGCUCAACCAAGGAACUGCAACCGAAACUACAGAGCUAGAGUCCGGGAGAGGGUAGUGGAAUUCCCAGUGUAGCGGUGAAAUGCGUAGAUAUUGGGAGGAACACCAGUGGCGAAGGCGGCUACCUGGACCGGUACUGACGCUGAGGCGCGAAAGCUAGGGGAGCAAACAGGAUUAGAUACCCUGGUAGUCCUAGCUGUAAACGAUGAGAACUUGGUGCAGCGGGUAUUGACCCCUGCUGUGCCGUAGCUAACGCGUUAAGUUCUCCGCCUGGGGAGUACGGUCGCAAGGCUGAAACUCAAAGGAAUUGACGG